rnacentral:lncRNA from 1 species
AAAAGUUAUAAUUAAAGAUUAGAAGAUAGAGACACAUAAUUAAAUUUCAUUUUCGAUAAAAUUCUGAGUAAACUCUACGAGUCCAAAUGGACAACUGCAAAUAGUAAUAAACAAGGAAAUUAAUAACAUGGAUUUAAUAAACUCAAAAUUUGAAAAAAAAAAUCUCUGAAAUAGGAACGAGGAAUUUAAUAAUUUCCUCUUCACAACGAUUAUUUUGCUUUGCAUGUCCAUUACC